rnacentral:rRNA from 1 species
CCUACGGGAGGCAGCAGUGGGGAAUUUUGGACAAUGGGCGAAAGCCUGAUCCAGCCAUUCCGCGUGCAGGAUGAAGGCCCUCGGGUUGUAAACUGCUUUUGUACAGAACGAAAAGGUUUCUAUUAAUACUAGGAGCUCAUGACGGUACUGUAAGAAUAAGCACCGGCUAACUACGUGCCAGCAGCCGCGGUAAUACGUAGGGUGCAAGCGUUAAUCGGAAUUACUGGGCGUAAAGCGUGCGCAGGCGGUUAUAUAAGUCAGAUGUGAAAUCCCCGGGCUCAACCUGGGAACUGCAUUUGAGACUGUAUAGCUAGAGUACGGUAGAGGGGGAUGGAAUUCCGCGUGUAGCAGUGAAAUGCGUAGAUAUGCGGAGGAACACCGAUGGCGAAGGCAAUCCCCUGGACCUGUACUGACGCUCAUGCACGAAAGCGUGGGGAGCAAACAGGAUUAGAUACCCUGGUAGUCCACGCCCUAAACGAUGUCAACUGGUUGUUGGGUCUUAACUGACUCAGUACAAAGCUAACGCGNGAGUGACGCGNGGAGGUAACGGUCGCGAGUUAGUAACGUUACGAAGAAGUUAGNGGCGNGAGAGNGCGACGGACGACGACGAGGGAGGAGG